AUGUCUUCGUCUUCCUCCUCGUCGUCGGCGGCGGCCGCGUCCGUGCCGUUUCAGAGCCCGAGGAAGGUGGUCAAGAAGGUGCUGUCCUUGUCCCAGUCCGAGGGGCAGGGCGCCACCGUCCGCCGGAGCAUCGGCGGGCACGAGGUCCGGAACCUGGACCCGUUCCUCCUGCUCGACGAGUUCUCCGUCUCAAAGCCCGCCGGCUUCCCCGACCACCCGCACCGGGGCUUCGAGACCGUCACCUACAUGCUCGACGGGGUGUUCACCCACCAGGACUUCUCCGGACACACGGGCACCAUCAGGACCGGAGAUGUGCAGUGGAUGACGGCGGGGCGCGGCAUCGUGCACUCGGAGAUGCCUGCGGCCGACGGAGUGCAGAAGGGCCUGCAGCUCUGGAUCAACCUCGCCUCCAAGGACAAGAUGAUCGAGCCCCGGUACCAGGAGCUCGAGAGCAAGGACAUCAGCCAGGCCGAGAAGGAUGGCGUGGCGGUGCGGAUCAUCGCCGGGGAGGCCUUCGGGGUGCGGUCGCCAGUCUACACACAGACGCCGACCAUGUACAUGGACUUCACAAUGCAACCAGGUUCGCAGCUCCACCAGCCAAUCCCGGAGGGCUGGAACGCCUUCGUGUACAUCAUCGAGGGGGAGGGCGUGUUCGGCAAGGAGGGUGCAGCGCCGGCGAGCGCGCACCACUGCCUCGUGCUUGGCGCGGGGGACGGGCUCAGCGUGUGGAAUCGGUCUGGCGCACCGCUGCGGUUCGCGCUGGCGGCGGGGCAGCCGCUGAACGAGCCAGUGGUGCAGCAGGGUCCAUUCGUCAUGAACUCGCGUGCCCAGAUCCAGCAGGCCAUGGAGGACUAUUACUACGGCCGCAACGGCUUCGAGAAGGCCAGCCAGUGGAGCUCGGCCUGA
rnacentral:rRNA from 1 species